GACGAACGCUGGCGGCGUGCUUAACACAUGCAAGUCGAACGGAAAGGCCCUGCUUGGGGGGGGGGCUCGAGGGGCGAACGGGGGAGGAACACGGGAGGAACCGGCCCGGGACUGUGGGAUAACUUCAGGAAACUGGGGCUAAUACCGGAUAGGAGCUCCUGCUGCAUGGUGGGGGUUGGAAAGUUUCGGCGGUUGGGGAUGGACUCGCGGCUUAUCAGCUUGUUGGUGGGGUAGUGGCUUACCAAGGCUUUGACGGGUAGCCGGCCUGAGAGGGUGACCGGCCACAUUGGGACUGAGAUACGGCCCAGACUCCUACGGGAGGCAGCAGUGGGGAAUAUUGCACAAUGGGCGGAAGCCUGAUGCAGCAACGCCGCGUGCGGGAUGACGGCCUUCGGGUUGUAAACCGCUUUCGCCUGUGACGAAGCGUGAGUGACGGUAAUGGGUAAAGAAGCACCGGCUAACUACGUG
rnacentral:rRNA from 1 species